rnacentral:rRNA from 1 species
GGAUUAGAUACCCUGGUAGUCCACGCCGUAAACGAUGUCUACUAGCCGUUGGGGAACUUGAUUCCUUGGUGGCGCAGCUAACGCACUAAGUAGACCGCCUGGGGAGUACGGCCGCAAGGUUAAAACUCAAAUGAAUUGACGGGGGCCCGCACAAGCGGUGGAGCAUGUGGUUUAAUUCGAUGCAACGCGAAGAACCUUACCAGGCCUUGACAUCCUUGAAAGUUGGCAGAGAUGCCUUCGUGCCUUCGGGAAUCAAGUGACAGGUGCUGCAUGGCUGUCGUCAGCUCGUGCCG